UUUCGUUCAAAUUUUCGAUGACAAAUUUCAUUAUUCGGUCUAAAAUAUUCAGGUUCUUAUUCAAUUUUGUAUUUUAAUUUUAUAAGUUUUGUUAUAAAUGAAGUCAUAAUAUAAUUUUAAUAAUUUCAUGAAUUGUUAUAUGUAAAUUUGUUGUAGUAUCCUGUCUUAUUUAUGUGAUCCCUUAUUUAGUAUCUUGUGAAUACUAUUAACAAUGAAAAGUAAAAAUUAAUAGAAUGCAGUAAACUAUCUAGUUUUUUCAUCUGUACAUGACAAAAAUAGAGAAAAAAUUAUUUACAUAAUAAUUCGUUAAUUGACACACACUUCACUUCACAUACUCAUCAUUCACUCAUACACUGCACAUAUCACACACCAAAGAACUCAUAUUCAUAAUCACCUUUUCUAUUUCAUCUAUGCACAAAUACCUACACUGAUAUUCAUACACAUUCACUGUUAUACACACCUAUGGAUGUAUAGUAGAGAAAAAAGAAGGAAAAUUAAAAAAAUAGAGAGGAAAAACAGUGAAACGAAAGAGAUGGUGAGAAAAUAAAAAAUCUAGCGAUGUUCAUUGACUGUUUUCGGCGAGUUUCUCACUGAAAACCCGCUACAUCUACUGUUGGAAAACCCACCAGAAAUACAAUCGCUGCACCGACUCCGACGGGAUAUGGCCACUGCCAUCCAUCACUGUUUUUGGUGCAAUCCGUCGGAUUCAACCACCCUAGUUUCAAAAUUCUUCACUAGUUUUGACGCUCCUCAUUUUCACGUGUUUUUUUGUUCUUGGGAUUUUAGAGUUUUGAAUGACCACAUAGUGUUUUAGACUGACUCUAAUUUAAAAAAGAUAGAUUAAAAAUAAUAUGGUUAGUUUUGUGUAUUGUAUUAUUAUUUUAUUAUUAUUAUUAUUAUGUUGUUUCUAUUAUUAUUUCUUUGUCAUUAAUAAAUCUUAAUUACUUGUUAGAUU
rnacentral:lncRNA from 1 species